AGAAUCAACGCUGGCGGCGUGCCUAACACAUGCAAGUCGCACGAGAAAGGGGCUUCGGCUCUGAGUAAAGUGGCGCACGGGUGAGUAACACGUGACUAAUCUACCCUCGAGUGGGGAAUAACCUAGAGAAAUCUGGGCUAAUACCGCAUAACACUUACGAGUCAAAGCAGUAAUGCGCUUGGGGAGGAGGUCGCGGCCGAUUAGCUAGUUGGCGGGGUAAUGGCCCACCAAGGCGAUGAUCGGUAUCCGGCCUGAGAGGGCGCACGGACACACUGGAACUGAAACACGGUCCAGACUCCUACGGGAGGCAGCAGUGGGGAAUUUUGCGCAAUGGGGAAACCCUGACGCAGCAACGCCGCGUGGAGGAUGAAAUAUCUUGGUAUGUAAACUCCUUUCGAUGGGGAAGAUUAUGACGGUACCAUAGAAGAAGCCCGGCUAACUUCGUGCCAGCAGCCGC
rnacentral:rRNA from 1 species